GAUUUCUGGUUGACUGUGCUAGUCCGCUCCUUCGCGGGAGUGUGUGCCGGUACAAGUCCGCCAUCCUUCUAGAUGGCCGUGCCUACCGUUAACUCGGUCGGGUGCGUGUGAUCUAGAUCUUUUACUUUGAAAAAAUUAGAGUGUUUCAAGCAGGCUUUAUGCUAUGAAUACAUUAGCAUGGAAUAAUAAUUUAGGACUUCGGUUCUAUUUUGUUGGUUUCUAGGACUGAAGUAAUGAUUGAUAGGGAUAGUUGGGGGUGCUAGUAUUCAGCGGCCAGAGGUGAAAUUCUCGGAUUCGCUGAAGACUAACUUAUGCGAAAGCAUU
rnacentral:rRNA from 1 species